GCCAGGUGAGGAUGCUGGUGUGUCCGGCGGAUUCAUAUCCCGCUGCAGGCAGGUUCGAUUCCUGCACCUGGUA
rnacentral:tRNA from 1 species